rnacentral:rRNA from 1 species
CCCUUAGAUGUUCUGGGCCGCACGCGUGCUACACUGAGUGGAUCAGCGGGUCAGGUUGCGCGAAAGCGUUUCCUAAUCUUUAAAUCCGCUCGUGAUGGGGAUUGACGGUUGCAAUUUUCUGUCAUGAACGAGGAAUACCUUGUAAGCGCGGGUCAUCAUCCCGCGCUGAAUACGUCCCUGCCCUUUGUACACACCGCCCGUCGCUCCUACCGAUUGAGUGAUCCGGUGGGGCUUUGGGAUCUGAGCGGAAAGAGCGUUUCGCUGUUUCUGCUCGGAAAACUCAGUCGAACCUUAUCAUUUAGAGGAAGGAGAAGUCGUAACA